CCUACGGGAUGCAGCAGUGAGGAAUAUUGGUCAAUGGACGCAAGUCUGAACCAGCCAUGCCGCGUGCAGGAAGACGGCUCUAUGAGUUGUAAACUGCUUUUGGACGAGGGUAAAUCCCGAUACGUGUAUCGGGUUGAAAGUAUCGUACGAAUAAGGCUCGGCUAACGCUGUGCCAGCAGCCGCGGUAAUACGGAGGGUUCAAGCGUUAUCCGUAUUUAUUGGGUUUAAAGGGUGCGUAGGCGGUUUGAUACGUUAGAGGUGAAAUCCCGAGGCUCAACUCCGGCACUGCCCAUGAUACUGUCGGGCUAGAGUUUAGUUGCGGUAGGCGGAAUGUAUGGUGUAGCGGUGAAAUGCAUAGAGAUCAUACAGAACACCGAUUGCGAAGGCAGCUUACCGAGCUACGACUGACGUUGAGGCACGAAAGCGUGGGGAGCAAACAGGAUUAGAUACCCGUGUAGUC
rnacentral:rRNA from 1 species